rnacentral:rRNA from 1 species
UACAGAGGUCCCGAGCGUUGUUCGGAUUUACUGGGCGUAAAGGGCGCGUAGGCGGCGUGACAAGUCACUUGUGAAAUCUCCGGGCUUAACUCGGAACGGUCAAGUGAUACUGUCGUGCUAGAGUACAGAAGGGGCAACUGGAAUUCUCGGUGUAGCGGUGAAAUGCGUAGAUAUCGAGAGGAACACCUGCGGCGAAGGCGGGUUGCUGGGCUGAUACUGACGCUGAGGCGCGAAAGCCAGGGGAGCGAACGGG